rnacentral:rRNA from 1 species
UCCUUCGGGAUUAGUGGCAGACGGGUGAGUAACGCGUGGGAAGCUACCUUGUGGUAGGGAACAACAGUUGGAAACGACUGCUAAUACCCUAUGAGCCCUAUGGGGGAAAGAUUUAUCGCCAUGAGAUGUGCCCGCGUUAGAUUAGCUAGUUGGUAAGGUAAUGGCUUACCAAGGCGACGAUCUAUAGCUGGUCUGAGAGGAUGAUCAGCCACACUGGGACUGAGACACGGCCCAGACUCCUACGGGAGGCAGCAGUGGGGAAUAUUGGACAAUGGGGGCAACCCUGAUCCAGCCAUGCCGCGUGAGUGAUGACGGCCUUAGGGUUGUAAAGCUCUUUCAGCAGUGAAGAUAAUGACAUUAACUGCAGAAGAAGCCCCGGCUAACUUCGUGCCAGCAGCCGCGGUAAUACGAAGGGGGCUAGCGUUGUUCGGAAUCACUGGGCGUAAAGCGUACGUAGGCGGACUGAUCAGUCAGGGGUGAAAUCCCGGGGCUCAACCCCGGAACUGCCUUUGAUACUGUCAGUCUUGAGAUCGAGAGAGGUGAGUGGAACUCCGAGUGUAGAGGUGAAAUUCGUAGAUAUUCGGAAGAACACCAGUGGCGAAGGCGGCUCACUGGCUCGAUACUGACGCUGAGGUACGAA